rnacentral:rRNA from 1 species
UACGUAGGCAGCAAGCGUUGUUCGGAAUUACUGGGCGUAAAGAGUGUGUAGGCGGUGCUCCAAGUCUGGUGUGAAAUCUCCCGGCUUAACCGGGAGGGUGCAGCGGAAACUGGUGUGCUCGAGGGUGGGAGAGGUAAGCGGAAUUCCUGGUGUAGCGGUGAAAUGCGUAGAUAUCAGGAGGAACACCUGUGGUGUAGACAGCUUACUGGACCACUUCUGACGCUGAGACACGAAAGCGUGGGUAGCAAACAGG